GCUGAUUUUUUGCUGGAUGACCUCUUCCACAAUGCUGACUUCAGCUGCUUUGGUGUCAUCCAUCUUCCUCCAAUGCCUAGCCCAGCAGGACCGAGGCGCAGUAAGGAUGGCUUCAAUGCUGGGACGCUGGCUGUAUUCCAGCAUCUCAUUAUUGGUGAUCUUGCCUUGUGAAGAAAGUAACUUUAUGGCUGCCUGGUGCAGAAGGGAGUGUUGACCACAUCGCCAUUCGUGGAUAAGAUAUCGCCAUCAGUAGCCUCAUCUCUGAAAAUGAAGAGGUGGAUUUGAUAUCUGGUGGGGAGGAACGUCCAGGAAGGUCUCCGUGCCAUUGAAGAAUGCUUCACCACAGCUCUUGAAGAUCUUUUCUCUCUCUCACAAGCCUGAGGAUGCCUGCUUCUACACUGUUGAUUAGCCUCUCGAAGAAUGAAACUCCUUCUUGACCCAGUUUUUGGUACGAUGAUGAAUCAUCAAGAGUCAAGCAAUUAAUGGAUUAAGCGUCACCCCAUCCAGUUAUCAAAAGUUAAAUCAACAUCACUCCGAGUCAGUUAAAGCAGUCAUCAAACAUUCUUGAACUUUAGACCCAAGACCUAACUAUAGCCUUCCUUAACCCUCACCCCUGCCCUCACCUAGUCUUUGGGGAUUGAUUUUGUUAAUGAUUAAACUUCAAUUUUUUGA